rnacentral:rRNA from 1 species
UGAGUGCGAGCGGCUACGGCCGCGAAGUGGGUGAUGUCAAGCUUCCAAGAAAAGCCCUAUACCCGUUAAGGCAUGAUGGCCUGUACCCGAAACCGACACAGGUGGGGUGGUAGAGAAUACCGAGGGGCGCGAGGUAACUCUCUCUAAGGAACUCGGCAAAAUGGCCCCGUAACUUCGGGAGAAGGGGUGCCACCGCAAGGUGGUCGCAGUGAAGAGGCCCAGGCGACUGUUUACCAAAAACACAGGUCUCCGCUAAGUCGCAAGACGAUGUAUGGGGGCUGACGCCUGCCCAGUGCCGGAAGGUUAAGGAAGCUGGUCAGCGCAAGCGAAGCUGGCGACUGAAGCCCCGGUGAACGGCGGCCCUAACAAUAACGGUCCUAAGGUAGCGAAAUUCCUUGUCGGGUAAGUUCCGACCCGCACGAAAGGCGUAACGAUCUGGGCGCUGUCUCGGAGAGAGGCUCGGCGAAAUAGAAUUGUCUGUGAAGAUGCGGACUACGUGCACCCGGACAGAAAGACCCUAUGAAGCUUUACUGUAGCUUGGUAUUGUGCCCGGGCUCUGAAUGCGCAGGAUAGGUGGGAGGCUUUGAUCCAUGGCUUGCGGGUCAUGGUGAGCCAACGGUGAGAUACCACUCUUUCAGAGCUAGGGUUCUAACGGUCACCCGUCAUCCGGGGACCGGACAGUAUCAGGUGGGCAGUUUGACUGGGGCGGUCGCCUCCUAAAAGGUAACGGAGGCGCGCAAAGGUUUGCUCAGGCUGGUUGGAAAUCAGCCGACGAGUGCAAAAGCAGAAGCAAGCUUGACUGUGAGACCUACAAGUCGAACAGGGACGAAAGUCGGCUUUAGUGAUCCGACGGUUCUGAGUGGAAGGGCCGUCGCUCAACGGAUAAAAGUUACUCUAGGAUAACAGGCUGAUCUCCCCCAAGAGUUCACAUCGACGGGGAGGUUUGGCACCUCGAUGUCGGCUCAUCGCAACCUGGGGCUGAAGUCGGUCCCAAGGGUUGGGCUGUUCGCCCAUUAAAGCGGUACGCGAGCUGGGUUCAGAACGUCGUGAGACAGUUCGGUCCAUAUCCGGUGCACGCGCAGGAACAUUGAGAGGAUUUCUCCCUAGUACGAGAGGACCGGGAGGAACGCACCUCUGGUGUGCCAGUUAUCGUGCCAACGGUAAACGCUGGGUAGCCAUGUGCGGAGUGGAUAACCGCUGAGAGCAUCUAAGUGGGAAGCCCACCUCAAGAUGAGUGUUCCCAUGGCAUAAGCCAGUAAGGUCACGGGAAGAACACCCGUUGAUAGGCUCUACGUGGAAGCCGGGUAACCGGUGAAGCGGAGGAGUACUAAUAGACCGAGGGCUUGACC